CCACGCACACACACACAGACACACACACACACACACAAAUACAAACACACACACACACACACACACACACACAAAUACAAAUACAAACAUGAGCGAACACACACAAAGGAGAUUUCCCCAUUCUGACUCAUUCAUACAUGCCCAAAGCUAGCCCUUACUCUACACACAAACACACUCAUAACCUGCCCAAAACCCAACAGAUACUGCACACCCUCAUACACACAUACUGCACAUACACAUACACACAUACUGCACACACUCAUACACACAUACUGCACACACUCAUACACACAUACUGCACACACUCAUACACACAUACUGCACACACUCAUACACACAUACAAACAUACUGCACACACUCAUACACACAUACUGCACACACUCACCCUCAUACACACAUACUGCACACACACAUACACACAUACUGCACACACUCAUACACUCAUACACACACACUCAUACACACAUACACACACACUCAUACACACAUACUGCACACACUCAUACACACAUACUGCACACACUCAUACACACACACUCAUAGACACAUACUGCACACACUCAUACACACACACUCAUACACACAUACUGCACACACUCAUAAACACAUACACACAUACUGCACACACUCAUACACACAUACUGCACACCCUCACCCUCAUACACACAUACUGCACACACUCAUACACACAUACUGCACACACUCAUACACACACUGCACACACUCAUACACAUAUACUGCACACACACAUACACACAUACUGCACACACACAUACACAUACACACAUACUGCACACACUCAUACACACAUACUGCACACACUCAUACACACAUACUGCACACACUCAUACACACAUACUGCACACCCUCAUACACACAUACUGCACACCCUCACCCUCAUACACACAUACACAUAUACUGCACACACACAUACACACAUACUGCACACACACAUACACACAUACUGCACACACUCAUACACACAUACUGCACACACUCAUACACUCAUACACACAUACUGCACACACUCAUACACUCAUACACACAUACUGCACACACUCAUACACACACACUGCACACACUCAGAAACACAUAAACAGUAGAUACAGGCGCAUGGGUAUUUGGUACCAUGCUGUUACACCUUUUCCUGAUUUCCAUAAUCUCAUCUGAGCUGUACUGUAAAUUUAAGCUUGUUUAGGUUGAAUCCCAAUCCUGUCAAGUAUGCCAUGCUACAGAAUAGAAAUGGGGCUGAAUGCUUUGGGUGUGGAGUAAAGCAUAAGAUUACGGAGAGACUCUAUACAAGCAUACUCACGUUCACAAAAACACAAGACACGGCACAUAGACACACACAUGGAAAUGCCAAGAUAGGAGAAGAUCCUUCAAUUAUGGGACGUGAAGUGAAUGUAGGUAGAUUCACAAGA
rnacentral:lncRNA from 1 species